rnacentral:rRNA from 1 species
AUGGCAGAAUGCUUCAAUAAGGUGCUCAAGGGUGUACGUGCAUUACCCGUGACGGCAAUAGUUCAAUACACAUUUGACAAGAUGAAUGGAUACUUUUUAAAGUACUCAAUGGAGACUGAUAAGCAGAUUGCUGGUGAGAACAAGGAUAAGUACAAUUUCCCACCAAAGGUUGAAGAAUGGUUGGAAUUUCAAUCACGAAAGGCAGACUCCCAAGAAGCUGUACUAUAUGACGACAACGAGUGGAAGUAUGAGGUGAAAGAGCCUGGAGAAACCACAAACGAUGGCCACCAACACGGAGGCCGGGCUUUCAAGGUAUCCCUAACACGGUGUGAUUGCAGCUGCAUGAGGCCAUCGUUGCUUCAUCUCCCAUGCCCACACUUGUUAAAUGCAUCCCAGGUUAGGAAUGUGGACGUCAAUCACCCUCUUACCGUGAGGGAGUCCGAGUUCUCAACCAUGACGGUAAAGAAUACAUGGACUCCACGGUUCCAGCCAUACUUAGACCAAUCACAAUGGCCGGAGUAUCAUGGAGUUCAACUAUGGCCGGACCCGGAAUUGAAGGUCGUUAGACGGGGAAGACGUAAGACAAAGCGUCUUAGAGGUGACAUGGACGGAUGGGGCCGUGGUGGCGGUGGAGAAUACGGCGCCGGCCAAUUCCAGGAGCCUCGUGAGUAA